GACGAACGCUGGCGGCGUGCCUAAUACAUGCAAGUCGACCUUAGCGGCGGACGGGUGAGUAACACGUAAGGAACCUACCGAUAAGCGGGGGACAACAUCCGGAAACGGGUGCUAAUACCGCCUACUUAUAGAUGGCCUUGCGGUGCAUUAGCUCGUGGGUGGGGUAACGGCCUACCAAGGCAAUGAUGCAUAGGCGACCUGAGCGGGUACUCGGCAACAGUGGGACUUAGACACGGCCCAAACGCCGACGGGAGGCAGCAGUAGGGAAUCUUCCGCAAUGGACGCAAGCCUGACGGAGCAACGCCGCGUGAGUGAAGAAGGUUUUCGGAUCGUAAAGCUCUGUUGUAAGAGAAGCGGUAUCUUACCAGAAAGCCACGGCUAACUACGUGCCAGCAGCCGCGGUAAUAC
rnacentral:rRNA from 1 species